UGAGGAAUAUUGGACAAUGGGCGCGAGCCUGAUCCAGCCAUGCCGCGUGCAGGAAGAAGCAUCUAUGGUGUGUAAACUGCUUUUGUACGGGAAGAAACGCUCCUACGUGUAGGAGCUUGACGGUACCGUAAGAAUAAGCACCGGCUAACUCCGUGCCAGCAGCCGCGGUAAUACGGAGGGUGCAAGCGUUAUCCGGAAUCAUUGGGCUUAAAGGGUCCGUAGGCGGUUUAGUAAGUCAGUGGUGAAAGCCCAUCGCUCAACGAUGGAACGGCCAUUGAUACUGCUAGACUUGAAUUAUUAGGAAGUAACUAGAAUAUGUAGUGUAGCGGUGAAAUGCUUAGAUAUUACAUGGAAUACCAAUUGCGAAGGCAGGUUACUACUUGUGGAUUGACGCUGAUGGACGAAAGCGUGGGGAGCGAACA
rnacentral:rRNA from 1 species